GUAAGUGGUGGAACUAGAAAAUGAAAUUGAAGAAAAUGAUGGCUCUUUAGUGAUUGCUGUGGUCUGACCAAAACUACUGUCAUCUUUGGAAUGUUUACUGGAAGCUUCAACAGCAAAUACCAAAGCUCAAAUGGAGAAGUGACUGGAUUCCCCUCGCCGUGAAGGUGAUUGCUGCAACAGCAGCUAAGACAGCGUACUGACUCAAAGAUGGAUGUGAGCAUGCAGCUGCAGAUGUUAUCCGAGCUUAGAGAACAAUUCCUGCAUUCCGAGAUCUUGGAGCCAUCCAUCCAACAUAACGCAAAUGCCAUGCCUGCUAGAACAGCUUAUACCAGAACAGGCCCUGCAUUCUUCCUGAAUUUCUGAGAAAGAUUUCUGUCAAGGCGGACUCUCACUUAUCUGGAGAUGUUCAUGAGCUGUAUUUAGAGG